GACAAGUUCUUCAGUGUGCAUGCCGUGGUGAUACUUUAUCAGAUUUUGAAGAAUAUCACAACACUUAACCUCUACUUGGUUCCCAAUGACUCUUCCCUGAUACAGGCAAUCCAGGAUGCCGAAGAGAAGUUCCACUCAGUGCUGGUGCGAAAGCCCCCUCAAACAAUAAUGCCCUUGCGCUACGGUUCUCGCUAUACCGUAUCCAGUUCAGUAGACCUCAAGAUAAUCCCAAAGGAACUGCACUUUACUUACAAGAACCCUCGGCAGCAGCAAUCCUAUGUGCAAUUCAGUAUCAGAAGCACUGAGAUAGUGGAUAUAAGUCUGAAAAAUAAGGAAGAUCUUUGCUCUGUCUGGGACACUUCACUCG